rnacentral:rRNA from 2 species
GCAGUCGAGCGGACAGAUGGGAGCUUGCUCCCUGAUGUUAGCGGCGGACGGGUGAGUAACACGUGGGUAACCUGCCUGUAAGACUGGGAUAACUCCGGGAAACCGGGGCUAAUACCGGAUGCUUGUUUGAACCGCAUGGUUCAAACAUAAAAGGUGGCUUCGGCUACCACUUACAGAUGGACCCGCGGCGCAUUAGCUAGUUGGUGAGGUAACGGCUCACCAAGGCAACGAUGCGUAGCCGACCUGAGAGGGUGAUCGGCCACACUGGGACUGAGACACGGCCCAGACUCCUACCGGGAGGCAGCAGUAGGGAAUCCUUCCGCAAUGGACGAAAGUCUGACGGAGCAACGCCGCGUGAGUGAUGAAGGUUUUCGGAUCGUAAAGCUCUGUUGUUAGGGAAGAACAAGUACCGUUCGAAUAGGGCGGUACCUUGACGGUACCUAACCAGAAAGCCACGGCUAACUACGUGCCAGCAGCCGCGGUAAUACGUAGGUGGCAAGCGUUGUCCGGAAUUAUUGGGCGUAAAGGGCUCGCAGGCGGUUCCUUAAGUCUGAUGUGAAAGCCCCCGGCUCAACCGGGGAGGGUCAUUGGAAACUGGGGAACUUGAGUGCAGAAGAGGAGAGUGGAAUUCCACGUGUAGCGGUGAAAUGCGUAGAGAUGUGGAGGAACACCAGUGGCGAAGGCGACUCUCUGGUCUGUAACUGACGCUGAGGAGCGAAAGCGUGGGGAGCGAACAGGAUUAGAUACCCUGGUAGUCCACGCCGUAAACGAUGAGUGCUAAGUGUUAGGGGGUUUCCGCCCCUUAGUGCUGCAGCUAACGCAUUAAGCACUCCGCCUGGGGAGUACGGUCGCAAGACUGAAACUCAAAGGAAUUGACGGGGGCCCGCACAAGCGGUGGAGCAUGUGGUUUAAUUCGAAGCAACGCGAAGAACCUUACCAGGUCUUGACAUCCUCUGACAAUCCUAGAGAUAGGACGUCCCCUUCGGGGGCAGAGUGACAGGUGGUGCAUGGUUGUCGUCAGCUCGUGUCGUGAGAUGUUGGGUUAAGUCCCGCAACGAGCGCAACCCUUGAUCUUAGUUGCCAGCAUUCAGUUGGGCACUCUAAGGUGACUGCCGGUGACAAACCGGAGGAAGGUGGGGAUGACGUCAAAUCAUCAUGCCCCUUAUGACCUGGGCUACACACGUGCUACAAUGGACAGAACAAAGGGCAGCGAAACCGCGAGGUUAAGCCAAUCCCACAAAUCUGUUCUCAGUUCGGAUCGCAGUCUGCAACUCGACUGCGUGAAGCUGGAAUCGCUAGUAAUCGCGGAUCAGCAUGCCGCGGUGAAUACGUUCCCGGGCCUUGUACACACCGCCCGUCACACCACGAGAGUUUGUAACACCCGAAGUCGGUGAGGUAACCUUUAGGAGCCAGCCGCCGAA